rnacentral:rRNA from 1 species
UACGGAGGAUGCGAGCGUUAUCCGGAUUUAUUGGGUUUAAAGGGUGCGUAGGCGGACGCUUAAGUCAGCGGUAAAAUUGCGGGGCUCAACCUCGUCGAGCCGUUGAAACUGGGUGCCUUGAGUGGGCGAGAAGUACUCGGAAUGCGUGGUGUAGCGGUGAAAUGCAUAGAUAUCACGCAGAACUCCGAUUGCGAAGGCAGCGUACCGGCGCCCAACUGACGCUGAAGCACGAAGGCGUGGGUAUCGAACAGG